rnacentral:lncRNA from 10 species
CAGAGCCAGGCCUGACACCCAGAGCUUCUUCUCCAAAUCCUAGAUUUUAAUAAUUAGCAUGGUUUACUUAUGCCUUAGACCCUCAUUAUGGAGUGCUGAAUGCAUACUGUAGACAGAUAGCAGAGGGUGCCAGUGAGGUGAGAUGGGGCAGCAGCAUGCAGAGGUGGCUGCACACUGGGCCGAGUGUCAGGAGAUGAGGCCCACCUCUGUGUGGUCACCCAUUGCAUAUGUGGAAAGGUCAACACAACACUUGUGACUUCAGCCUUCAAUUUCCUCUGCUGUGAGACCACCAAGCCUCUUUCAGGUUCUUCUAUUCCUGCCCAUCCUGUUAAGGUGCAAAAGCCUAGCAAUGCGAGAAUUAUGAGCCACUUUGAAGGUACCAAAAUACCAACCUGAAACAACUCACAAUGGCUGCGAAGAAUGGAAAAAACAUUUGCCAGGACCAGUGCUACCCGGCCUUCCUGCACUCCAUUGGAGAACAGGAGUGGUACAGAGCCACUGCGAUGCUGAGUCCACAGUGGCAACAGACACCAACUGGCAUCUCCAUGAAAAGUCACAACUGACCGCCUGGCUGCCAAGAUCUUUGGUGAGACAAAGUUUUCACUGAACUGUCAUCACACCCAAACAAGUCCCAUGCUCUCCGGGUUCUUUGCUAUCUGUGAUCACUUCAAUCGCUUUUUUUUUUUGCAGGUACAUUACCCCCUUUUCCCCUACC